CAGUGAUUUCAGCUCUUUUAGUAUUUGUCUAGUAGGUUUCCUGCGGCGCGGGAAGCCUUA
ensembl:snRNA U7 U7 small nuclear RNA